UCCCUUUCUGGGAGAUCAGGGAUGGGACUGAAAGUUCCAGCUCCUAAUCACACGGUUGGCUCCACUGACAACCAGCUCCCUCCUUAGGUACUUUCCAAAGGUCUCAAGUUAACAUAACAAACAAAAGACACCUUUAUCACUCUGGACACUUCAGAAAUUGCUAGGAUUUGGGGAGCUGUGCAGAAACCCAGGAUGAAGACCAAAUAUAUAUGGGAAAUAUAUUUUGGCCUUCUGAAUGACCAGAUAAAUAUUUUGCUUAUAAAUCACAACACUGCAUCCACUCACUUGGACAAGGAAGUAUCUAAGUCAGUAUCAUUUAGGAAACCUCAGUUUUAAGUUCUUUUCUCUUCUCACUUUUUUAAGUCUUAGGCUCCUCAACUGUACACUGAGUGGGUUAGACUGCCUCUCAUGUUCAUUCUUUUUCUGACUAGCUUAUGAUGUUAUGACAUGUAGACACAUUUUAAAAAAUGAAUAUUGUGCUAUUUUAAAUUAAAACAGUAAUUAAAUGCUUUAAUAACAGAAGUAGUUCUAUUUAUAAAAAAACUCUUCACCUUAAUAAGACUCUGUGAUCUUUUCCUGUCUUCUUUCCUGGGCCUUGGUUUUUUACAAAGCUGUGAUUAAUGUGUGUGUUCAAUUUUGAGUUCUUUUCUUCCUACUUUUCAGCGUUACUAUAUAGUAUUCCAAGUGUGUCAACAUGGAAACUUUUGAACUCAUAUCAUUAACUUAGGGAACCGACUGUUUUUAAUUCCUUGAAGGACGGAACUUGAACUGUUAUGGUAAUUUUUCUAUUUCUGAAUCUGUGGAUCUUGACUAACAUCUUAAAAAUAAUGACAUAGAGAGGAAUUGAAAUACCAGAGUGGGUUCAUGAACUGUUUAUUUGAGUUUAUACUUGUGUGUGGAUAUAUGUGUUUGCUGGGCCAUGUAUGUUUACUGAGUCAGGCACUGCUCUGGUUCCCAAAACUGAGACCUUAAGCAAAAUAUAAUUAUGUAUCCCCCUUGCCUGGCAUGGAUGUGUAAGAAACACAUUUUUAUCAUGCUAAUAACUUUAGAAAUCCACUUAAAUGUAAAAAGGUAAAGAAUAUUCUAUACCAGAUAAAGCACAGAGGGAAAAAUCUUGCAUGGAAAGGGCACUCAUUUGUUAGUUCUUUGGUCCAUGUAUUUGCCUGUGCUCUUCCUUUGGCCUUCUGCUACAUCCGCUAGUGUCCAUGGUAGAAAGCUAACAGACACAGACAAUUUGCAGGAGACAAGCCAUUAUUUUAUAAUCAGCUCUCUUAAAGUCAUUUUAUGAUUCUGUGUCUACGGUGAAAAACUUUGCCUACUCUUGAUGUUCAAAGCAUGUCUUCUUCCUCUCCUCCUUUUCCUCACAUUGUUAGCAGUCAGCUCAUUCAGCUGUAACUUUCCCCUCCUUGGUUAUUUUCUUAAACCACUCAUGCAGGCACGCACCUAUACCCAUAGCUGCUUCUCAUUAAUUCAGAGGCUUUCUUAGUGAGUGACUCAGCAUGAGUCAUCAGCCUAACUGUCUCUUUGGGGAACCCAUUUUACCAAUUAGCCAAUGUAUUUUCAAUAAUUAACACACCACAUAGGCUAAACAAGAUUCAGACUUCUUCUAGUCUACUGUUGUAGUCCAGCUCAGUUAUGAUAAGUAUCCAGACAUAUAUUAGGAUAGGAUAAAAUCAUAGAAUUCAGGUUUAGAGAGAAGGGAGUCCCAGGACUAGAAGAAAUUUCUGUGAUUCAGAAGUAAAAGAAGGGUAUUUAAAUUUUAGCAAUGAAGUUGAUUUACACUAUACACACACACACACACACACAAAAACUCAAAAUGGCUUAAAGACUUAAACAUAAGACAAGAUACAACAAACCUCUUA